rnacentral:rRNA from 1 species
GCCAGCGGGUAAUGCCGGGAACUCUAGCGGGACUGCACGGUAAGGUGAGAGGAAGGUGGGGAUGACGUCAAAUCUAGCACGGCCCUUAUGUCCAGGGCUACACACGUGUUACAAUGGCCGGUACAAAGGGCAGCUACACCGCGAGGUGAUGCUAAUCUCGAAAGCCGGUCUCAGUUCGGAUCGAAGUCUGCAACCCGACUUCGUGAAGUUGGAUUCGCUAGUAAUCGCAGGUCAGCAUACUGCCGGUGAACUACAUUCCCGGGCCUU